rnacentral:rRNA from 1 species
CAGUAGCCGCGGUAACACGUAGGGUGCGAGCGUUAAUCGGAAUUACUGGGCGUAAAGCGUGCGCAGGCGGUUGUGUAAGACAGGUGUGAAAUCCCCGGGCUUAACCUGGGAACUGCGCUUGUGACUGCACAGCUAGAGUAUGGCAGAGGGGGGUGGAAUUCCACGUGUAGCAGUGAAAUGCGUAGAGAUGUGGAGGAACACCGAUGGCGAAGGCAGCCCCCUGGGCCAAUACUGACGCUCAUGCACGAAAGCGUGGGGAGCGAACAGGAUUAGAUACCCGAGUAGUCCCUGUCUCUUAUAC